rnacentral:rRNA from 1 species
UACGUAGGGUGCGAGCGUUAAUCGGAAUUACUGGGCGUAAAGGGUGCGCAGGCGGUUCUGCAAGUCAGGCGUGAAAUCCCCGGGCUUAACCUGGGAAUGGCGCUUGAAACUACGGGACUGGAGCAUGGCAGAGGGAGGUGGAAUUCCACGUGUAGCGGUGAAAUGCGUAGAGAUGUGGAGGAACACCGAUGGCGAAGGCAGCCUCCUGGGCCAAUACUGACGCUCAUGCACGAAAGCGUGGGGAGCAAACAGG